rnacentral:rRNA from 1 species
CUGCCGUGAAAGUCCGGGGCUCAACUCCGGAUCUGCGGUGGGUACGGGCAGACUAGAGUGAUGUAGGGGAGACUGGAAUUCCUGGUGUAGCGGUGAAAUGCGCAGAUAUCAGGAGGAACACCGAUGGCGAAGGCAGGUCUCUGGGCAUUAACUGACGCUGAGGAGCGAAAGCAUGGGGAGCGAACAGGAUUAGAUACCCUGGUAGUCCAUGCCGUAAACGUUGGGCACUAGGUGUGGGGGACAUUCCACGUUUUCCGCGCCGUAGCUAACGCAUUAAGUGCCCCGCCUGGGGAGUACGGCCGCAAGGCUAAAACUCAAAGGAAUUGACGGGGGCCCGCACAAGCGGCGGAGCAUGCGGAUUAAUUCGAUGCAACGCGAAGAACCUUACCAAGGCUUGACAUGAACCGGUAAUACCUGGAGACAGGUGCCCCGCUUGCGGUCGGUUUACAGGUGGUGCAUGGUUGUCGUCAGCUCGUGUCGUGAGAUGUUGGGUUAAGUCCCGCAACGAGCGCAACCCUCGUUCUAUGUUGCCAGCACGUGAUGGUGGGGACUCAUAGGAGACUGCCGGGGUCAACUCGGAGGAAGGUGGGGACGACGUCAAAUCAUCAUGCCCCUUAUGUCUUGGGCUUCACGCAUGCUACAAUGGCCGGUACAAAGGGUUGCGAUACUGUGAGGUGGAGCUAAUCCCAAAAAGCCGGUCUCAGUUCGGAUUGGGGUCUGCAACUCGACCCCAUGAAGUCGGAGUCGCUAGUAAUCGCAGAUCAGCAACGCUGCGGUGAAUACGUUCCCGGGCCUUGUACACACCGCCCGUCAAGUCACGAAAGUUGGUAACACCCGAAGCCGGUGGCCUAACCCCUUGUGGGAGGGAGC